rnacentral:misc_RNA from 1 species
AAGUCGUAACAAGGUUUCCGUAGGUGAACCUGCGGAAGGAUCAUUCAUGUGAUUUUUCAAACACCCAACUUUUUGUUAACUAUUAGUUAAAAGUGCUCAAGUUUCUGUGUUUUUCUUUUGUUGGCUGCGUUUUCUUUCAUAUUUCCCAUUCUAUUUGCAAAGCACUCUAAACUCUAGAGGAAAAUAGUAAAAGAAAUGAUAAAUGCUACCUUUGUUUUACCUUAAAAUCUACCCAAAAUUAAUUUUACCAUAAAACACCUAUAAAUUUAUACAACUUUUAACGAUGGAUCCCUCGGCUCUCA